AUGGCCCGAGGGGAGACCAACGGGGAGGCGGGACGGGGAGGCGGGACGAGGAGCUCAGUUGCAGGGAGCCGCGCUGCCCUCGGCCUCGCGCUUGCCUUUGCCCCCGGGGGGCUCCGCUCCGCCGGCCUUGCCCUCUCCCGCCGCCGCCCCGGCAGCCUCCUCUUUGGCGCCCUCGUGGGUUUUCAUGUGUUUGGCCAGGUGGCCGCUGCGCAUGAAGACUCGGCUGCAGACUGCGCAGGGGAACUUCUUGGUGCCGGUGUGGGUCUGGAGGCGGCGCUGCAGCUCGUCGGAGCGCGUGAAGCGCUUGCCGCAGAAGAGCCAGUUGCACACGAAGGGGCGGUCGCCGCUGUGCCAGCGCAGGUGUGCCUUCAGGAGAAGACCAGGGAGGGACAGUCAGCCCAGCUAUCAACCCCGAGGGAGCGCCACCCUCCUUCUGCAUCAACAACCUCCGGGCAGGAUCAGACCCUUCAACAAUCAGCUCAGCUCUGCCCCCAAACAAAGGGAGAGGAAGACUUCCUUGCUCAACCUCCACAUCUGGCUCCCUCCUCCACCCCACAGUUCUGGCUGGAAGCUGUCGCCCAUUCUGGCCCUCUUCCCUUCUUCCCUCGUGGCUCCAUCACACUGGGUCUGGAAGGCUUAAUAAGGAGGCACAUCAGAGACAUUAUUUCUGCGGUGACAACCCUCCCAGGCCAGAUAGAAACUCCUCCCUUAGGGGGACCCCCAGCCUCUGCUACCCCAUCUCAGCGCUCCCUCCGGAAACCCCGGGGUAAAGCACUCUAA
rnacentral:lncRNA from 1 species